UCUCUGGCGGUUCAGCGGUUAGGACUCUGCGCUUUCACUGCAGGGGCCACAGGUUUGAUCCCUGGUUGGGGAA
rnacentral:tRNA from 1 species